UUGACUUCUCACACGACAAAAUGAACAGGUUCAUCUACAUUAUCUUGCUGUAUAUGAAGUCAGUUCAGACUACUGAAAUUAACUGCAAGGUUGCAUCUUUUAAAAUUGAAGAGAACUUUAAUCUUAGCAAGUAUUUAGGAACAUGGUAUGAGAUUAAAUGGAUCGCUCCUUUUUAUCACUCAGAAGAAGACCAAUGGUCUGAUUAUAAACAUACCUACAGUAUCAAACAAGAUGGCGGAGUCGCUGGUUACGGCAGUGCAAGAAAACUACCUGCAAUGGAAUGUGUGUAUUUCCGGACCGAUUUGAACCCGACCAGUAUUCCAGGAAAUUUUACUUUCGGAGAAAAUAAUUCA